rnacentral:rRNA from 1 species
ACUUUGAGAAAUAGAGUGUUUCAAGCAGGCUUGUCGCCCUGAAUACUGCAGCAUGGAAUAAUAAGAUAGGACCUUGGUUCUAUUUUGUUGGUUUCUAGGACCGAGGUAAUGAUUAAUAGGGACGGUUGGGGGCAUUCGUAUUUAACUGUCAGAGGUGAAAUUCUUAGAUUUGUUAAAGACGAACUACUGCGAAAGCAUUUGCCAAGGAUGUUUUCAUUAAUCAAGAACGACAGUAGGGGUUUUUGAAGACG